AUUGAACGCUGGCGGCGUGCUUAACACAUGCAAGUCGAACGAUGAAGCCGGAGCUUGCUCUGGUGAAUUAGUGGCGAACGGGUGAGUGACACGUGAGUAACCUGCCCUUGACUCUGGGAUAACUGCGGGAAACUGUAGCUAAUACCGGAUACGACCCUCGGAGGCAUCUCCUGGGGGUGGAAAGAAUUUCGGUCAAGGAUGGACUCGCGGCCUAUCAGCUAGUUGGUGAGGUAAAGGCUCACCAAGGCGACGACGGGUAGCCGGCCUGAGAGGGUGACCGGCCACACUGGGACUGGGACACGGCCCAGACUCCGACGGGAGGAAGCAGUGGGGAAUAUUGAACAAUGGGCGCAAGCCGGAUGCAGCAACGCCGCGUGAGGGAUGACGGCCUUCGGGUUGUAAACCUCUUUUAGCAGGGAAGAAGCGAAAGUGACGGUACCUGCAGAAAAAGCACCGGCUAACUACGUGCCAGCCGCCGCGGUAA
rnacentral:rRNA from 1 species